rnacentral:rRNA from 1 species
CCAGGCAAAUCCGGAAAACCAAGGCUGAGGCGUGAUGACGAGGCACUACGGUGCUGAAGUGACAAAUGCCCUGCUUCCAGGAAAAGCCUCUAAGCAUCAGGUAACAUCAAAUCGUACCCCAAACCGACACAGGUGGUCAGGUAGAGAAUACCAAGGCGCUUGAGAGAACUCGGGUGAAGGAACUAGGCAAAAUGGUGCCGUAACUUCGGGAGAAGGCACGCUGAUAUGUAGGUGAAGCGACUUGCUCGUGGAGCUGAAAUCAGUCGAAGAUACCAGCUGGCUGCAACUGUUUAUUAAAAACACAGCACUGUGCAAACACGAAAGUGGACGUAUACGGUGUGACGCCUGCCCGGUGCCGGAAGGUUAAUUGAUGGGGUUAGCGGCAACGCGAAGCUCUUGAUCGAAGCCCCGGUAAACGGCGGCCGUAACUAUAACGGUCCUAAGGUAGCGAAAUUCCUUGUCGGGUAAGUUCCGACCUGCACGAAUGGCGUAAUGAUGGCCAGGCUGUCUCCACCCGAGACUCAGUGAAAUUGAACUCGCUGUGAAGAUGCAGUGUACCCGCGGCAAGACGGAAAGACCCCGUGAACCUUUACUAUAGCUUGACACUGAACAUUGAGCCUUGAUGUGUAGGAUAGGUGGGAGGCUUUGAAGUGUGGACGCCAGUCUGCAUGGAGCCGACCUUGAAAUACCACCCUUUAAUGUUUGAUGUUCUAACGUUGGCCCCUGAUCGGGGUUGCGGACAGUGUCUGGUGGGUAGUUUGACUGGGGCGGUCUCCUCCUAAAGAGUAACGGAGGAGCACGAAGGUUGGCUAAUCCUGGUCGGACAUCAGGAGGUUAGUGCAAUGGCAUAAGCCAGCUUGACUGCGAGCGUGACGGCGCGAGCAGGUGCGAAAGCAGGUCAUAGUGAUCCGGUGGUUCUGAAUGGAAGGGCCAUCGCUCAACGGAUAAAAGGUACUCCGGGGAUAACAGGCUGAUACCGCCCAAGAGUUCAUAUCGACGGCGGUGUUUGGCACCUCGAUGUCGGCUCAUCACAUCCUGGGGCUGAAGUAGGUCCCAAGGGUAUGGCUGUUCGCCAUUUAAAGUGGUACGCGAGCUGGGUUUAGAACGUCGUGAGACAGUUCGGUCCCUAUCUGCCGUGGGCGCUGGAGAACUGAGGGGGGCUGCUCCUAGUACGAGAGGACCGGAGUGGACGCAUCACUGGUGUUCGGGUUGUCAUGCCAAUGGCACUGCCCGGUAGCUAAAUGCGGAAGAGAUAAGUGCUGAAAGCAUCUAAGCACGAAACUUGCCCCGAGAUGAGUUCUCCCUGACUCCUUGAGAGUCCUGAAGGAACGUUGAAGACGACGACGUUGAUAGGCCGGGUGUGUAAGCGCAGCGAUGCGUUGAGCUAACCGGUACUAAUGAACCGUGAGGCUUAACCUU